UACGAACUGUGCAAACGUUAUUCGGAAUCACUGGGCUUAAAGGGCGCGUAGGCGGCCAUUUAAGUAGGGUGUGAAAGCCCCCGGCUCAACCGGGGAAUUGCGUCCUAAACUGGAUGGCUCGAGUGAGAUAGAGGUGUGUGGAACUUCCGGUGGAGCGGUGAAAUGUGUUGAUAUCGGAAGGAACGCCGGUGGCGAAAGCGACACACUGGGUCUCAACUGACGCUGAGGCACGAAAGCCAGGGGAGCGAACGGG
rnacentral:rRNA from 1 species